GACGAACGCUGGCGGCGUGCUUAACACAUGCCAGUCGUACGGUAAGGCCCUUUCGGGGGUACACGAGUGGCGAACGGGUGAGUAACACGUGAGCAACCUGCCCACAACUUUGGGAUAACGCUAGGAAACUGGUGCUAAUACUGGAUAUGUGCUCCUGCUGCAUGGUGGGGGUUGGAAAGCUCCGGCGGUUGUGGAUGGACUCGCGGCCUAUCAGCUUGUUGGUGGGGUAGUGGCCUACCAAGGCGGCGACGGGUAGCCGGCCUGAGAGGGUGACCGGCCACAUUGGGACUGAGAUACGGCCCAGACUCCUACGGGAGGCAGCAGUGGGGAAUAUUGCACAAUGGGCGCAAGCCUGAUGCAGCAACGCCGCGUGCGGGAUGACGGCCUUCGGGUUGUAAACCGCUUUCAGCAGGGACGAAGCUUUUUGUGACGGUACCUGCAGAAGAAGCACCGGCUAACUACGU
rnacentral:rRNA from 1 species